CUACUGAGGGUGCAAGCGUUAAUCGGAAUUACUGGGCGUAAAGCGCACGUAGGCGGUUUAUUAAGUCAGAUGUGAAAGCCCUGGGCUUAACCUGGGAACUGCAUUUGAGACUGGUAGGCUAGAGUAUGGUAGAGGAUAGUGGAAUUCCGGGUGUAGCGGUGAAAUGCGUAGAUAUCCGGAGGAACAUCAGUGGCGAAGGCGGCUAUCUGGACCAAUACUGACGCUGAGGUGCGAAAGCGUGGGGAGCAAACAGGAUUAGAAACCCCAGUAGUCC
rnacentral:rRNA from 1 species